CAAGCCAGCGCACCUGGUUGGGUACUUUUGUACAUUUUAACUGUUUUGUUUUUUGUUGUGUUUUUUUUCCUGUUUAUCUUAUCCUUUGACUGCCCUUGCAAGGCAGCCCCUUUCUUCCAACAUCUACAGAUGCUGAACUCCCAAGAGCCAGAGAGAAAGACCAAGCAGCUUGCUAAAGAUCAGUGUGCUGUAGGCAGGAGGCAGGAUUCAGGGUCAGACUGGUGUGAGGCUGUGGGGCACGCACACACACACAUCACACACAUACCACAUAGCACACACAUAUACAAUACACACAUACCACAUAG
rnacentral:lncRNA from 1 species